ACAAGAAGGCUGUGCCAUUGGGGUGGGGGGCAUGGCCCGGGGGAGCAGGCUGGGCCCUGGUGGGAGGGGAGAGGGUGGCCCUCCUGUGCCCUGGUUCAUAGAGUCUAAGGCCAGAAGGGCCCAUUGUAGCUACUCUGACUUGCUGUAUGACACCAGUCCUAGGACUUCCCUCUAUUCAUUAAUUUCUGCUUUCCAGUCCAAUAGCUGUGGCUAAACUAGAGCAGAGCUUUUGGAAAAACAUCCAGUCUGGGUUUAAAAAUGUCCAGUGAUGGAGAAUUCACCACAGCCCUCGGUGGCUACAUUUGCAGCACUACCAAUUUGUGGAACCCCUGAUCUCAAGCAGCAGUAAGUUGAAGUGCUGCCGUCUCCUGAAAAAGUGUAUGAAACUUCUCUUUUUUAAGGCAUUAUUUUGUUUCGCCAGCGGGUCUCUGUGUCAGCCCAGAGAGUGGGUGUAUGUUUUUCUAUCAGCAGGUGGGAAAAGGACAAGGCAAAACUCAUUGUGACUUUACAUCACCUGUGAAGAUUGCUGGGGAUGGAACAGGUGAUAAUGGAGGGACCAGUGACCCUGAAGACAAAGAUCACUUCUGCGGAGUAGCUGGGUGGAUUUUUGAAAAUAGGCAGUCUGCUAGCACAGCAGUCUAUCCUGCACUCUAAUGACAAUAUCUCUCUGUGAGGAGGGGGAUUCUUGUGUCCUCUCUCUCCCCUCUCAGUUCCUGACUUUUACCCAGGAUGCUGUGGCUAGUUCAAAACCUUGGACACUUUUAUUCAGUUUUUGAGCUCUUAAUUAAAAGGUAGGCCCAAUGAACACAUUCCCGAACUAGAUCCUAGCAUUGUGCUGGGGACACAUUUGCAUGAAAAACAGGAUCUUUGCUUCUUGAGAGUUCAUCUGCUCCUUCUUCCCUGUCUGAAGUGAUGACCCUUCGCUGGCUGUGACAUCAGAAUUGAUGGCUGGAGAAAUGAUUGAUUUCACGGGCUAAGGAUUAUGACUUGAAAUGGCGGGAGAGGGAAAGUGGCAGAGCAGAUGCCGGAAGGAGGCAGGGAGGGAUGGAUGGCUUUGCCACUAAAGGUGGAAGGAGCAAACUUGUGAAUAUAUAGCUCUUUGCACAAGCAAAAUUCCCAGUCUUCAGCAGGCACUUUGCCUGAGUAAGUGCAGAGAAGCUGAAAGUUUUGCAGCUGAAAUGUUUUUCAGGUUUGCCAUAUCAAUUGGUUGUUUGGUUUUUCCCCCAAUGCAGCAAUUCUUGGUUCCCAGGAUGUAGAGGGGAGGUGGGUUGUUUUGUUUGCAUUACCCCCUCAUAGACCAGUACAUUUGUGCCCAUCCUGGAUGCCCAGUUUUUUGUUCCCCCUUGUAUGGUAGCUAGCUCUUGGCCUUGCAGUUCAAUUCCUUAUAGCCUGAUCGAAGUAUUGUUUUCAUGUUCCAUUUCUUUGCAGGCCUCCUUCAAAGUUAUAGUCCUCUGACUGGUGACUUUUUGCACCUGCCUCAACAUCUUACAGUAUUUCACUUUUGUGCACUGUGUAGAGGUCUCAGCCUUUGGGUUUCAUGCAUUGUUCUUACUUGUAAAGGUCUUGGUUGUUAAUCUGGUUGAGUGUAGAAGCUGGGUGUGGUCACCAUGUGGACCUUUUUUGGCCACAUCCGCUUCCCUCUCAAGGCUCAAUGAAUGCUGGACAGGGAUUUCAUUACCCGGCUGCACAAUCUGCCAACACAACCUUGUCAUUGCAAUUUGUCACACAUAUUUUGUAUGUGUUCUGUAUUUCACUGCAGUCGCAUUUCCCAGGCAAUUCAUAUACAGGCUACUUGUUUGGUACAUAGAUCAACUUCAUCUGUGUCCUUGGCCAACAUUGCGUUUUCCCCUACAGUUGUGCCACAUGUCGGCAGAGGUUGGCUGCCUGUCUUUACCCUAGAAGUGGCUGCAUUUCAGUGGAGCAUUGUGUCCCUACACUGAGAUGUGCUUUGAGUUCUACAUGUAAAAUAGAAAUGGGCUUGAGCCAAGAAUAUAAUUAGAGCUGGUCAAAA